rnacentral:rRNA from 1 species
AUGUUGGACCUUAGCUUUAAUAACCUGGACGGGGUUAUGCAUGAAGGCCAUUUAUCACGUCUAGCUAUGUUAGAGCAUUUGAUAUUGUCAGACAACUCCAUUGCCAUCACACUGAGUCCAACUUGGGUCCCUCCUUUCAGCCUAAAUUGGAUUGACCUUCCAUCCUGUCAGCUAGGGCCAAAAUUCCCAAUGUGGCUUAGAUGGCAAACACCCGUAAUGAGUCUUGACAUAUCAAACACAAGCAUAAAUGACAUGGUGCCAGAUUGGUUUUGGAUAGCAACUUCCUCAGUAGAUUAUCUGAAUAUUCGAAAUAAUCAGAUUACAGGAGUGCUCCCAUCAACAAUGGAAUUUAUGAGAGCAGAGGUAAUGGAUUUCAGUUCUAACCAGCUUGGUGGUCCAAUACCUAAGCUUCCCAUCAAUCUAACCGACCUGGAUCUCAGUCGGAACAAUCUUGUUGGGCCACUACCAUUAGACUUUGGAGCUCCAGGGCUUAGAACACUUGUUCUAUAUAACAACAUGAUCUCUGGGGCCAUUCCAUCUUCAUUGUGCAGAUUGCGAGAAUUGAGGUUGUUAGAUCUAUCAAGAAAUAACCUCAAUGGAUCAAUUACCGAUUGCCUAGUCAACAAGUCCAUCACAGACAUGACAGAUCUGGGCAUCGUUAAUCUAAGCUUGAGAAACAACAACCUCUCUGGUGAAUUUCCUUCACUUCUCCAGAAAUGUCCACAACUCAUCUUUCUUGAUCUCGGACAUAAUCAAUUCGUUGGGACUUUACCAGCAUGGAUUGGGGAGAAGCUAUCAUCUUUGUCAUUCUUACGACUGAGAUCCAAUAUGUUUUAUGGUCACAUUCCAGUUGAGCUUACAAAGCUUGUUAAUCUGCGAUAUUUGGACCUUGCGUACAACAAUAUAUCAGGGAGCAUACCAAGAUCUAUUAGUAACUUCACAGGCAUGACACAAACAAGAGGCAACUCUGAUAAUCUUCAGAAUGCGUUAACUUUUGAAAGAGCGGAUGGUGAGGGACUAGUAUCUGUCUAUGAUGAGAAUUUCACGAUACUCACGAAAGGUCAAGAGAGACUAUAUACAGGAGAAAUCAUAUAUAUGGUGAAUCUUGAUUUAUCCUGUAACAGUAUUACCGGAGAGAUCCCUGCAGAACUUGGCGCUCUUGUAGCAUUGAAGAACCUGAACUUAUCAUGGAACAACUUCAGUAGAAAAAUCCCUGAGAAUAUUGGCGCCUUAAUUCAAGUGGAGUCACUUGACCUAUCACACAAUGAUUUGUCUGGUGAAAUCCCUUCAAGCUUAUCGGCUCUCACAUCAUUGAGUCGCCUGAACCUGUCCUACAACAAUCUGGGAGGGAAGAUACCAACUGGAAAUCAGCUGCAAACACUUGAAGACCAGGCAUCUAUUUAUAUUGGCAACCCGGGUCUCUGCGGCCCUCCUCUCUUGCGGAAUUGCCCGCAGCCUGAGCCAAUUCCAGGAGAAAACCAUGGAGAUGCAAGCGAUGACUUGGUUUCCUUUCUCCUCGCCAUGAGCUCUGGAUUUGUAAUGGGUCUCUGGGUGGUCUUCUGUACCUUCUUGUUCAAGAGGAGAUGGAGAGCUGUUUGGUACUCGCUCUGUGACAGCCUGUAUGAUUGGGUUUAUGUGCAUGUGGCUAUUACCUGGACUUCCUUGAGAGGUAAAAUCAAUGGGUAG